UACAGAGGGUGCGAGCGUUGUUCGGAAUCAUUGGGCGUAAAGCGCUUGUAGGCGGCUUGUUAAGUCGCGUGUGAAAUCCCUUGGCUCAACCAAGGAAGUGCGCGCGAAACUGGCGAGCUCGAGUGCCGGAGAGGGUCGCGGAAUUCCCGGUGUAGAGGUGAAAUUCGUAGAUAUUCGGAAGAACACCAGUGGCGAAGGCGGCUCACUGGACUGGUAUUGACGCUGAGGUGCGAAAGCGUGGGGAGCAAACAGG
rnacentral:rRNA from 1 species